rnacentral:rRNA from 1 species
UACAGAGGUCUCAAGCGUUGUUCGGAUUCAUUGGGCGUAAAGGGUGCGUAGGUGGCGCUGUAAGUCGGGUGUGAAAUUUCGGAGCUUAACUCCGAAACUGCAUUCGAUACUGCGGUGCUUGAGGACUGGAGAGGAGUCUGGAAUUCAUGGUGUAGCAGUGAAAUGCGUAGAGAUCAUGAGGAAGACCAGUGGCGAAGGCGGGUCUCUGGACAGUUCCUGACACUGAGGCACGAAGGCCAGGGGAGCAAACGGG